GGCCUCGUAGUACAAUGGAUAGUGCGUGGGUUUCCGGUACCCAAAAUCCAGGUUCGAUUCCUGGCGAGGCUACGA
rnacentral:tRNA from 1 species